rnacentral:misc_RNA from 1 species
GAAAUGCGAUAAGUAAUGUGAAUUGCAGAAUUCAGUGAAUCAUCGAAUCUUUGAACGCACCUUGCGCUCCUUGGUAUUCCUUGGAGCAUGCCUGUUUGAGUAUCAUGAAAUCUUCAAAGUAAAUCUUUUGUUAACUCAAUUGGUUUCUACUUUGGUAUUGGAGGUCUUUGCAGCUUCACACCUGCUCCUCUUUGUUCAUUAGCUGGAUCUCAGUGUUAUGCUUGGUUCCACUCGGCGUUAUAAGUUAUCUAUCGCUGAGGACACUGUAAAAGGUGGCCAAGUUAAAUGCAGAUGAACCGCUUCUAAUAGUCCAUUGACUUGGACAAUACUUUUAUGAUCUGAUCUCAAAUCAGGUAGGACUACCCGCUGAACUUAAGC